UGGAGACAAAGUGUUCCUACGAGUCUCUCCUAUGAAAGGUGUGAUGCGAUUUGGGAAAAGAUGCAAGCUGAGCCCCAGGUUUAUAGGACCGUAUGAGAUACUAGACCGAGUGGGAGCGGUGGCUUAUCGUUUGGCACUUCCUCCUAAGUUGUCCUUUAUUCAUCCAGUUUUUCAUGUCUCAAUGCUAAGGAAAUGUAUAUCAGACUCAUCUCAGGUGCUUGAAGCACCAACUAUACCGCUUGAUGAGAAGUUGUCUUACGAGGAGGAGCCGAUGGUAAUUGUUGAUAGACAAGUAAGAAAGCUACGGUCAAAGGAAAUUGUGUUCGUUAAAGUUUUAUGGAGAAAUCAUACAGUUGAAGAAGCUAAUUGGGAGGUAGAAAAAGAUAUGCAAGCGAAGUAUCCCCAUUUGUUUCAGUCUAGAGGUACGUACUUGAGUUAAAUUCGGAGACCGAAUUUCAUAAGGUGGGGAGGGUGUAAUAUCCCCAAUAUAUUAAAUGAGGUCAUAUGGGUAUUUAGUAAAUAAUUUAAGUUUUCUUUAAAUAAAAAUGAACUAACAUUUAAAAAAAAAGAAUUAACAAAAAAAAAAAGGGGGAACCUAACCUAAUUAAAAGAUGAGCAAAGGCCCACUGGAACGGCAAAACAAAAAAAAAAAGAAGAGGGGAAAAGGGGAAAAGGAAUUGCAGCAAAGCUGCGGCAAAGAAGAAGUAGAAGCUAAAGCACAGAAAGAAAAAAAAACCAUAGAGGAGAAAGCAACGAAGCCUAGGGUUCCAAAAUAAAGGGAAAAUCAAGCACAGUUCCAUAGCUGCUAGGAACCUGGUGCUUCAAUAUUAUUAUUCUCAACCAUUGUUAUUUCUAAAUUCAAGAUUGUACACAAAUUGAGCAUUUGGAUCGAUAAGAAGUCGAGUUUUGGCUAGUUGGUAUAAAGAGAUUGUACACAAAUUGAGCAUUUGGAUCGAUAAGAAGUCGAGUUCUGGCUAGUUGGUAUGAAGAGUUUUGGAGCGUUGUGCAUCGAUUUGAGUCGUCGGAAGGGCUU